GGUAGACGCUACGGACUUAAAAUCCGUCGACUUUAAAAAUCAUGAGGGUUCAAGUCCCUCUAUCCCCA
rnacentral:tRNA from 1 species